UACGGGGGGAGCAAGCGUUGUUCGGAUUUACUGGGCGUAAAGGGCGCGUAGGCGGCGCAACAAGUCACUUGUGAAAUCUCUGGGCUUAACCCAGCAGCGGUCAAGUGAUACUGUCGUGCUAGAGUGCGGAAGGGGCAACUGGAAUUCUCGGUGUAGCGGUGAAAUGCGUAGAUAUCGAGAGGAACACCUGCGGCGAAGGCGGGUUGCUGGGCCGACACUGACGCUGAGGCGCGAAAGCUAGGGGAGCGAACGGG
rnacentral:rRNA from 1 species